rnacentral:rRNA from 1 species
GGAGGGCGCAAGCGUUGUUCGGAAUCAUUGGGCGUAAAGCGCGUGUAGGCGGUCUGGUCAGUCGGGUGUGAAAUACCGGAGCUCAACUCCGGAACUGCAUUCGAUACUGCCAGGCUAGAGUCCCGGAGAGGGUGGUGGAAUUCCCGGUGUAGAGGUGAAAUUCGUAGAUAUCGGGAGGAACACCAGCGGCGAAGGCGGCCACCUGGACGGUGACUGACGCUGAGACGCGAAAGCGUGGGGAGCAAACAGGAUUAGAUACCCUGGUAGUCCACGCCGUAAACGUUGGGUGCUAGGCGUUGGGGGUAUUGACCCCCCCGGUGCCGCAGCUAACGCAUUAAGCACCCCGCCUGGGGAGUACGGUCGCAAGGCUA